rnacentral:tRNA from 1 species
GAGGAUAUAGCUUAAGUGGUAGAGCACAUGCUUAGCAUGCACGAGGUCCUGGGUUCAAUCCCCAGUACCUCCC